CUAUUAAUUGAAGGCUUCUAUGAACGGUUGGGUGAAAGAGAAGCUCUCUUUUACGGUUUAGAAUUUGACUUUUAAGUGAAAAGGCUUAAAUUAGUUAAGGGGAUGAUAAGACCCUAUAAAACUUUAUAUGUGUUCUGCUUUAUCUUUAAAUUAUAAUUGAAUAUUGUGAAGCAUUAUACAUAUUUCGUUGGGGAGACGUCGAUAUAAAUUGUAACAGUCUGAAGAAAAAUAAUUAUCAUUAUGCUUCGUUCCUUAUCUGUUGAUGAAAACAAUAAGUAUUUUUUUUAUUGAUAAUAGCGUA
rnacentral:rRNA from 1 species